rnacentral:snRNA from 1 species
UGUGAGGACCAUCUGGCUGAGACAUCUGUCGCCCCAUAGAUUGCUGAUUGGCCGAUCUGGCUCACGAGGCGUGUGACCCUUCCUCCCACUCCAGAGGACAGGCCUUCUCUGAACAGAGGAAGACUGUCUUCCCUCAAGGGCACAAGAGUAGCUGCACUGCCCGCUAGAUCCUCCAAACAAGCCCACACGCCCGAGAGAACACUGUAUGCACACGGGAGCAUCCACAUGCACACGGGAGCAUCCACAUGCACACGGGAGCACCUGAGU